rnacentral:rRNA from 1 species
ACUCCAUGAAGCUGGAUUCGCUAGUAAUCGCGCAUCAGCCACGGCGCGGUGAAUACGUUCCCGGGCCUUGUACACACCGCCCGUCAAGCCAUGGGAGCCGGGGGUACCUGAAGUGCGUGACCGCAAGGAGCGCCCUAAGGUAAAACCGGUGACUGGGGCUAAGUCGUAACAAGGUAUC